AAGCCUUUUGGACACUCGCCUGC
rnacentral:siRNA from 1 species